UGAUUUACAUUUGAGUGAGUGGCGAACUGGUGAGUAACACGUGGGAAACCUGCCCAGAAGCGGGGGAUAACACCUGGAAACAGAUGCUAAUACCGCAUAACAACUUGGACCGCAUGGUCCAGUUUGAAAGAUGGCUUCGGCUAUCACUUUUGGAUGGUCCCGCGGCGUAUUAGCUAGAUGGUGGGUAACGGCUCACCAUGGCAAUGAUACGUAGCCGACCUGAGAGGGUAAUCGGCCACAUUGGGACUGAGACACGGCCCAAACUCCUACGGGAGGCAGCAGUAGGGAAUCUUCCACAAUGGACGAAAGUCUGAUGGAGCAACGCCGCGUGAGUGAAGAAGGGUUUCGGCUCGUAAAACUCUGUUGUUAAAGAAGAACAUAUCUGAGAGUAACUGUUCAGGUAUUGACGGAUUUAACCAAAAGCCACG
rnacentral:rRNA from 1 species